rnacentral:sRNA from 1 species
CCGAAUCGUCGACGUGAGUUGUUGCUGGCCCUCAAACGGGGGCAUGUGCACGCUCCGUUUGCAUCCACUCACACCUGUGCACCCUCUGUAGUUCUGUGGCCUGGGGGACCCCUCCUCCCGUCUGCGGUUCUGCGUCUUUACACACACACUGUAACACGGUCUUAUGGAAUGCAUGCGGCGUUUAACGCAAUACAAUACAACUUUCAGCAACGGAUCUCUUGGCUCUCGCAUCGAUGAAGAACGCAGCGAAAUGCGAUAAGUAAUGUGAAUUGCAGAAUUCAGUGAAUCAUCGAAUCUUUGAACGCACCUUGCGCCCUUUGGCUAUUCCGAAGGGCAUGCCUGUUUGAGUAUCAUGAACACCUCAACUCUCAUGGCUUGCCAUGAUGAGCUUGGACUUUGGAGGCUUUGCCGGCCUGUGGUCGGCUCCUCUCAAAUGAAUCAGCUUACCGGUGCAUGGUGGCGUCGCAGGUGUGAUAACUAUCUACGCUUGUGGUCGUCCGCCAGGUAACCUCUGGCAUUUGUUGGAGGUUCGCUGGGGCUUACAAAUGUCUCUCCUCAGCGAAGACGUAUUUCUGAACG